UGCUUGCAGGUUUUCCGGCGGAAGGUGGAGCGCAACCGAAGUAAUUCCAAGGGAACCCCGUUCACACCGCUGUGCCAAUCGUUCUCGGUUUGGACCCCCAGCAACAGGUAUGUUAGAAGAGUGAGAAGGGUUUUCCCCCAAAAAAAGAGUAGACCAAGUGGGAAAGGGAAAUAGUUUUCUUCAAUCAUUUUCCAUAUUGAGGGUUUAAAUAUAUUCAUGAUAAGUAUGUGAACUUCUUUUGAGCAUGCAACUUACCGGCCAUCAAUAAUUAAUUUAGAAAAUAAUUUAAAAAUAAAAUUGGUGAAGAUUAUGGGUAAAAAGGAGAAAACAAUGUAAACGCAAGAUAUUUGAAGGCGG
rnacentral:lncRNA from 1 species